AGCGAACGCUGGCGGCAGGCCUAACACAUGCAAGUCGAGCGGGACCUUCGGGUCUAGCGGCGGACGGGUUAGUAACGCGUGGGAACGUGCCCAAAGGUACGGAAUAGCAUCGGGAAACUGAGAGUAAUACCGCACGUGCCCUACGGGGGAUAGACUUAUCGCUUUUGGAUCGGCCCGCGUUGGAUUAGGUAGUUGGUGGAGUAAUGGCAUACCAAGCCGACGAUCCAGAGCUGGUUUGGGAGGCUGAUCAGCAACACUGGGACUGAGACACGGCCCAGACUCCUACGGGAGGCAGCAGUGGGGAAUCUUAGACAAUGGGGGAAACCCUGAUCUAGCCAUGCCGCGUGAGCGAUGAAGGCCUUAGGGUUGUAAAGCUCUUUCAGCUGGGAAGAUAAUGACGGUACCAGCAGAAGAAGCCCCGGCUAACUCCGUGCCAGCAGCCGCCGUAACAC
rnacentral:rRNA from 1 species